rnacentral:lncRNA from 1 species
CACUGAAGCACAGUGUCAGCAAGGGGCCUUCCCAGGCUCAUUCAGUUCCCCCACAGGCUCAGGAGCAUCACUUUUCUGUCCCUCUGCCCUCAUCAGGUGGUGCUUGUUGGGGACAAACUGAGCUGCAAAAGCAUGAGAGCAGUGAAGAGUCCUCAGGUUCAUCAGCUGCCACCAACUGCUGUCAGCAGCACAGAGCCAAAGGAAUGGGAAGGUACAGACCCCCUCCUGGGAUCCCUGUAUCUUCAGCUGGGGUAACUUCUCCUCAUUUUGGGACAUUCAUAAUAACCCCUCAAACCCAGGUGAUUUCACGUCUGCCCUGCUCACAGGUGUUCUGAUUCUCUAUCUGCUUUUCCUCUUGGUGGCAUUUGCUUGGUUUCCCUGUCACUUGCACACUGUGCUUGCUAUCAGGUCUGGAUACAAACUCAUCAGCUCGGUUUCCAUCGCCUUCUCCGUCUUCCCUCCAGGCUCUGCUUCUUGUUUCCUCUCUUCUUGCACAAACUGCCUCCCCACCCUGGUUUCUGCUGCUCUCACAAGCCCUCUGUCUAGCACACCUUAACCACAGCUGACCAAUUUCUGCACCUGUGGAAAUGAUGGCAAAGAAGCUGACAGCACAUGAGCUCAGCUUUAACUCUCCACCUCAGUGUGGAGGUGCCUGCAGAAGUUGCUGGUGUGAAGAGGAGAGCAAAGAGAGACUAAGGGGCAUCAAGCUUGUCCUCUACACUCUUCACUGUCAGAUCCAUCUCUGUGGCACUUCAGGCAUGCAAAAAGGACGUGUUUAUGUCGUGGGUGCUGUGGAUGUGAAAGAAUGUCUAAACCUAGCAUUCAAACUGUGGAAAAACUGUGAAAUCAGUAAAUACAGAACAGGAACUGAGAAAAAUUUGUGUUCAGCUGUUUCCCUACUGUAGCUUGGAAAAAGAACCUGAAUGGUUUUAACUUGCCUCCAAGUUAGUGUGCUUUUUGUAAUUCUGGGAGAGCUUUGGUGCUGGGAUUGUUAGCAUAACUUGUUCAAAUAUUCCAAGUUCCCACCUCCUCUUACUCAUGACAUGGAAAAACACUCGAAAUCUAUCUAAUCAAAUGCUCACAAGCAGCCAUAUCCCACGGGCAGCUCAGAUAGGCCUGAUGAAAACCACAUUUGCUGACAGCUUUAGCUCAGCUCCUGCCAGCUGAACUGCAGCCUGGCACAUCAUCCUGUCGAAGCCCCGCUGCCCACCACGAUGUCCCCCGGGAUGAGGGGUCUGGCCGGGCAGCAGAGCUCACAGACAAUCCUG